UACGUAGGGGGCUAGCGUUGUCCGGAAUCAUUGGGCGUAAAGAGCGCGCAGGCGGUCGUUCAAGUCGCGUGUGAAAGCCCCCGGCUCAACUGGGGAGGGUCAUUCGAUACUGAUCGACUCGAAGGCAGGAGAGGGUAGUGGAAUUCCCGGUGUAGUGGUGAAAUGCGUAGAUAUCGGGAGGAACACCAGUGGCGAAGGCGACUACCUGGCCUGUUCUUGACGCUGAGGCGCGAAAGCUAGGGGAGCAAACGGG
rnacentral:rRNA from 1 species